UGUGUCUAUUCAUUUUGAAAUGAACAAAAAUUCCAAUUGCGAAUUGUUUAUUUUCCCAACGAUAUUCGUACCGCAUUUCGUUAAAAUCUUAAAAAUUUGUCAUAUUGGCUAUAAUUUCCCUGCUUGUACUCCGUAGACCAAUCAUCAUAUAACGUUGAUUGGAAAGAACUAAUGGUAGCGCAGGACCGAUGAAAUUGGCCGUCCUACAGGGGAAGGGAUUAGAGAAAUCGUGGAGUCGCACUAGUCAAGAACUUUGGCC
rnacentral:misc_RNA from 1 species